GGUUUCUGCGGGAACAGGAAGCGCAGCUCCCGGCCGGGCCUCUCUAGGAGCUGGAGGAGCUCCGUCGUGUUAACCCUUCACUCCCCAGGCGGUGGGAACCUUUCUGUUUCGUUCAUCUCUCCUCGCUCCCCCCCAAACUGGCAGCUCCCUGCCCCCUGGCUUGUCCCACUCUGCACAACCCAGUGAAUUCCCACCCUGGCUGUGUUACAAUGGAGGACAAAGGGAUUAUCAGAGGGGCUCUAGAAACAGCCCUGAACUCUCUAGAAACAGGUGCCCAGAGCCCAGAUGACAUUGAUGAUGAUUAUUCUUUUGAGAGACCCCCAGGUGCGCAUGGCAAACCUGAAAAGUCAAGGUCUGUUUACCAGCGUGCUAGCCUUUUGCUGCUUUUAUGUCUAAAUCUUAGGCUUCUUCAUGGCCAGUUAGAGGCAGGAAUACUCGUCUGUGAUCUGUUCUGCUGAUUUAAUAUUGUUAUUAUUUAUUUAUAUGAUGGUACAGGCCAAAGGCCUCAGUCAGGAUUAGAGCUGCAGUUGUGCUGGGUAAUGAAGACGGUCCCUAUUGCAGGGAGUUUACAGUCCAAAAGAUCCUCAGCAGUGACAAAGAACGUGAAUAAUAAUAAUAAUGUGCAUUUAUUUAGUCCAUUCCAUCCUAGAGCUGUGAUGUUUGUCAGGGUGAUUUUAGUGACCGUUCUUGUCUACACUUAAACAUGACAUUGUCACCGCUGUAGUUGUGCUGCUGUAGUGCUUCAGUGUAGACACUCCCUGUGCCAACAUGAGAGGUUCUCCUGUGGGCAUAGGUAAUGCAUCUCUCCCUGAGAGACAGUAACUAGAUUGAUGGAAGAAUUCUUCCAUUCACCUAGUGCUGUCUACACAGGGCUUAGUUUAGCUUAAGUACCCCCUUCAGCAAUGUAGUUAUGCUGACCUAAUUUUCUAGUGCUACUUACUUGGAAGCGUUGUUGUAUUUGCAGAAUGGAAUCUUUUUCAAUUAAACCAAAAAUGUUUAUGCUUCUAGCCCUUGCAGAGAAAAUAUUCAAAAUGUGAAUUGUUGCUGUGGUGCCUUUGGGCUGGUCUACAAUGAAAACUUACAUCCGCAUAAGUGUCUACACUGAAGUGCUACAGUGAAGCAGCUGCAGCUAUGCCAUUGUAGCAUUUUAAGUAUAGACAUCAGGUUGCAGAGAGACAAGCUAAAUAACAGCUCUGCUGAUGAACUGCUCUAUUCAUGCAAAGAGGAAAUUAACUAGGGAGCUUAAUGAUAAUUUAAAUGUUAACAAUUACAGCUGUUCUUGCUGAUUAUUUUAGCAGAAACAUCCAGCUAAUGUGCUUAUCCAGUGUGGUUGGCUAUCGCAGAAGUAAGAGAUAGAAUAGACCUACUAUAUUCAGACUGUGGUGUGCAUUUGCAGCUCGCAAUUUGCUCCCUGCUUCCAUAGCUCCUUGGAGAGGAGACAACAAGAACUUAAGAUAGGAAGAGAGCAGAAAACCAACGUAGUGUACUAGACACGCUAAGCAGAUCUGUUUCUAAGCCAUUGCAGAGAGUCAGGAUGGAGGGCAGUGGAGAAGGAACAAGUCUGUUAGGACCGCCUGAGCAAGCUUUAAAACCAAGGAGUGCAGCUUACUCUUCUUGGUUCUGAAACGACUGGGAAGCCAGUGGAGGUAUUUUGGCAUGGUGCUGGUGGAAGGGCUAUAUUUGUCAAGAUCGAGUUUAGUUCCUCAAGAGCUCAGGGAGGCUGUUUGGAGAGACCACAAAGUAAAAUCAUUAUUGGAGAAAGCGGGUAAGAGGAGAGAAGAUCAUUGUUCGAACUAAGCCCGGGAAAUUGGAGGUUAAAACCACAGAGCUUCUUAACCCACUCUGCCCUAGAGAGGAUCAGCACACUCAGAGGGAGGAGGACUUAAUAAAGAUGGGACUUUCCUGUUCCCAGCCAAAUAUCGCUCCCAGCGCCAUGUGUCCGAAGCAACAGAAUCUGCAUCUCCAGUGAAAACAACACCCCUCCACUGACGUGCUAAGGGCAUGAAUCCCCGGGGAGCAGCUGGGAGCGGAGCUGGACCUGCUGAUGGCUGCUUCCGGGGCGCAGCGGUCC